rnacentral:rRNA from 1 species
UACGUAGGGGGCAAGCGUUGUCCGGAAUCAUUGGGCGUAAAGAGCGUGUAGGCGGUUCGGUAAGUCGGCUGUGAAAGUCCAGGGCUCAACCCUGGGAUGCCGGUCGAUACUGCCGGACUAGAGUUCGGAAGAGGCGAGUGGAAUUCCCGGUGUAGCGGUGAAAUGCGCAGAUAUCAGGAAGGACACCCGUGGCGAAGGCGGCUCUCUGGGACGGUACUGACGCUGAGACGCGAAAGCGUGGGGAGCGAACAGG